rnacentral:misc_RNA from 1 species
CCCGAGUUUUCACCCCAGAAAUCUAGAAUUUCAGAUACCUUCUCUAAGUUCAGGAUGGUUGCCAUCUGAGUGAGACGAGCAAACUUGUCUCUAACUGUCCUCUGAGUCACGCCAGAGAAAUGGCUCACCAAAGCCCUUAUAUCUCUGUCGAGCUGAAGUCCUCCCAGCUGACUAAACCUUUUCUGCAUCAUUAUCACUUCAAGCCUCUUCACAAUGAAGUCAAUGACCAAAUGUACAAAUGAAUCAUAGUUGUUUGUGCUCAUUAGUGGUUGAAGCCACGACACAUUUGUCUCAACAGAAUGUAGAAGCCUCUGGACCCAUGGGUCAUUCACCUCAUUAUCUGC